GACAUUGCCAGAAAUUGCUCCGGGCACCGCCGGCAAAAUUCGGUUGAGGGAGAAAACAAGGGAAAAAAAGACGACGAAAAUGAGGGGAAGCCAAACAAGACCUUUAGGGCAGACUCGUGGGGUUUAUAUAGACCCCCCUGAUGGCCCGGAUCGAUGGGGUCGGUUUCCAUCCCCCGAUCGGGCUGCGCCACGUGGCGACCUCUGAGGCCGAGGCACUGCAUCCACUCCGGAUCAAUAAAUCGAAUACGAAAUCAAAGUGUUGUUCCAUCGGAUCUCGGGACCUCAUUAUGGGUCCACAGAAUCCCAUCGCCUCGAAGAAUGAGCGGACGGCACCCCCGCUCCCCUCGUUUAAUAAAAUCUGGGACACGUGGAGCCCCGGUGUGGCCUCCACUCCCCCGAAAUUAUGACCCGGUAACACGAAAUCGGAAGCGUCCAACCCCUGGUCAUGCCGCGUGUCCGUUUUGAAACCCAAAAUGGCACGCUCAUUGAUGAGCG
rnacentral:lncRNA from 1 species